AUUGAACGCUGGCGGCAGGCCUAACACAUGCAAGUCGAACGGUAACAGGAAGCAGCUUGCUGCUUCGCUGACGAGUAGCGGACGGGUGAGUAAUGUCUGGGAAGCUGCCUGAUGGAGGGGGAUAACUACUGGAAACGGUAGCUAAUACCGCAUAAUGUCGCAAGACCAAAGAGGGGGACCUUCGGGCCUCUUGCCAUCGGAUGUGCCCAGAUGGGAUUAGCUUGUUGGUGGGGUAACGGCUCACCAAGGCGACGUUCCCUAGCUGGUCUGAGAGGAUGACCAGCCACACUGGGACUGAGACACGGUCCAGACUCCUACGGGAGGCAGCAGUGGGGAAUAUUGCACAAUGGGCGCAAGCCUGAUGCAGCCAUGCCGCGUGUAUGAAGAAGGCCUUCGGGUUGUAAAGUACUUUCAGCGGGGAGGAAGGGAGUAAAGUUAAUACCUUUGCUCAUUGACGUUACCCGCAGAAGAAGCACCGGCUAACUCCGUG
rnacentral:rRNA from 1 species